UCUGUCAGGGACUCCCCAUGUUUUUUAAUUAUUACUGUACGUCAUCUCUAUCUGGUUUUCCUCUCCCUGUGAACAGGCUUUAGUCUACACCAGCUCUUUAAAAGCUCAGUUUUCAAUCCUACUUAUAAUGACUGUCCUUUGUCACACCUGGCCUUAUCUCGCUGCCCAGCUUUCAGUAGAAUCUACUUCAGCAAGCAGGCGGCAGUCACCUGGAGGGCAGGCUGCAGGGUGCCCCCCGCCCCAGGUGUGGGGGGUGGGUGCUGAUAAUUUGCAUUUCCUAGCAGGUUCCCAGGUGGUGUUGAUACUGCAGAUCUGGGACCUCACGUUGAGACUCGAGGCUCUACCUGUGUGCCUUCUGCCUCAUACUAUCUGCCAAUUUUCACAGCUAGAACUACUUAAGUUUUAUCUCCUGUAGUGUUGAUUCUGCUCCACGCAGGGAGGCAGGAAUAGGAGAUUUUCAUUGGUUCAGCACGACACCUACCUUUACGGCAGGUUUCUCUUUGCGGGGGGUAGCAGAGCCUUUGCUGUGUUCUUUGACUGUGGUGCUUCAUUCCUUCUGGGUUCCUUGCUGGACGCGCUGUUUCCUCCAAUACUAGGACACUUCGAUUCCCCUUGCUCAGUUCCUUCUGGACUCUGGAGACGAGCAGGCUCUCCACCCCCAGCCUCCAUCUCCCUCCUGCUCCGAGACUCAGCGCUGGCUUCACUUAUUCCUCUAUGAUUACUUUUCUGGUUAAGAUCGCGUACCUUGGCGAGAAAGUUCUAAUGCCACCUCUGUGCAUGACUUAAAUCCAACAAAUGGAAGUUCCUGGGCCAGGGACUGGAUCCGAGCUGCCGCUGAGGCAAUGCCGAAUCCUUUAACCCACUGCGCCGGUCGGAUGUUGAAUCUACACCUGCACCUCCCACUGCAGUCGGAGUCUUAACCCACUGCCCCCCAGCAGGAACUCCAGCGGGAAUCAUUCUUAGGAGCCGUCGUGGUACCCUGCAUAGUUCUCAACGGACCGUCAUGGUGACUUAUGUCAAAUCCAUCCUCUUUGAUCAAUCUCCAUCACCCCACCUUAGUCGAGACUUUCUCCUUCUCACCAGAAUUGCGGCCACAGCCUCGUCACUGCACUGGGUGUUCUGUCCAUCUCAGAUUCAUCUUGAACGCCUGUGCCACCAUGUUGGAGCUAAUUCCGAUUCACAGUAAACCAUCCCUCUGCCUUAAAUACUUUUUAAACUCCAGACUCAUCUUAAGUGUAAAAUAAAAUCCAAGCUUCUUAACAAAGUAUAUAAAACUCUGGCCCUUUACUGGUAUAAUUUUGUCCGUUUACUUACUUUCAGAUGUCACGCUCCAUUGUGCUGUAUCAUACCUCUGUGCCCUAAAACGACACAAUCCUGUCGGUAUUAUCAUCUCCUUUCUUCUUUACCUUGCUGCCUCCUAUUUAUCUUUUAAAAUUCAGUUCAGGUGU